rnacentral:rRNA from 1 species
GACGAACGCUGGCGGCGUGCUUAACACAUGCAAGUCGAACGGAAAGGCCUUGCUUUUGUGGGGUGCUCGAGUGGCGAACGGGUGAGUAACACGUGAGUAACCUGCCCUUGACUUUGGGAUAACUUCAGGAAACUGGGGCUAAUACCGGAUAGGAGCUCCUGCUGCAUGGUGGGGGUUGGAAAGUUUCGGCGGUUGGGGAUGGACUCGCGGCUUAUCAGCUUGUUGGUGGGGUAGUGGCUUACCAAGGCUUUGACGGGUAGCCGGCCUGAGAGGGUGACCGGCCACAUUGGGACUGAGGUACGGCCCAGACUCCUCCGGGAGGCAGCAGUGGGGAAUAUUGCACAAUGGGCGGAAGCCUGAUGCAGCAACGCCGCGUGCGGGAUGACGGCCUUCGGGUUGUAAACCGCUUUCGCCUGUGACGAAGCGUGAGUGACGGUAAUGGGUAAAGAAGCACCGGCUAACUACGUG